CUCUCUACACCCCCAUGCUCGAUACGGUGAGUCAUCGGCUCUCCCGAGUCGGCUCACCAUCGCGGGCCUAUAAAUAGCCCUCCCCCUCGCUCUAGCACCCCUCAGAUACCUUCGCCGCAACCACUAGCACCUCCCUAGCCACCCCAACAAGCUAGCAGAGCCCCCGUGCUCGAGAUCAACCGAGGCCCCUCCUCCUCCGAGCUCCGGUCGAUCUUCGGCUACAUGACGACUCCUACGU
rnacentral:lncRNA from 1 species